GAGAGACGGUCUGAUACUGUGAACCCAAAGCAGUUUUAUACACAGUGGUUAAAUUGACAUUACUGCGGUAAAACAGUGUCUUAUUCAGCGGUAAACGGUUUUAACAGACCCGCGGAGACGAGUUAUCUGCAGUUUUUCGGAUCAUUGUCGCCCAAAAGCACAGUUGUACCUACUGUCUUCUGUUGCCCAAAACAUCUGAGAAACCAGUAGAAGGUGUAGGACUUGACUGAAGAAGAUCCUUGGAGAGUGGUGGCAGAGGAUGCUUUCACAUCAUACAUGAGCAGCAACAACCUCGCUUCCUGGCUCUUGUAGACGCCUGUGAUGAUGAGCAGAGCACAGUCAGCCAUCUCAACUCCAUCAGUGAAACACAGCAGCAGCCCACAUCACCCAUCACCAUGGCCCCAGAAGCUGGUUGAGAGGGCUCGGAUCAUGGCAGACGUUGAUGCGUCCUGGCAGGGCUGCAUUGAGGAGGAGCACCUUUACCUGUCACUGGAGCGGCAGAUCAAGCACCAGCCAAUGCUCACUCACUCAUUCUAGGAGCUCCAGUGCUACUCCACUUUGAUCAAAAGUAGCCCAGAUUGUGCUUUGGCUCAGCGGUCGGGACUCACUCUUUCAUCUAACACUUUGAUUCAACUCUUACUGAUGAGUAUACAAGUGGUGCGGAAUCCUUUUUACGAUUAAGGAAAACUUCUUGAGCAAAAUGCUCCAUACUCCAUAAUGUAUAGUCUCAUUACCGCACAUAUUACAAGUUUCAGUUGCUGGGUAUUUGACUCUUAAUUAUUACACUAUUCUGUUAUAUUACGUGUUUUAAAAAGACACUUUAGAACCACUGCACAACAGUAUAACAAUUUCAAUAUCAACAGGUAACCCAUACUAGUACAUAGGACUGCAGCAACACACACCUGGAAUGGUGAGAAGCCAUCUCGGUGCCCAGUUUGGUGUUGUGCUCAACCUUAGUCAUAAAUGUGGUGGGAGUUUGCUCAGGGUUCCAGCAGUGGCAGCCAAAAAUAUGAAGACUUUAGGUAAAACAUGCUACAUAAACAAAAUAUUUUGGAUAUACCAGUUCUUACUCGGCCCACCGGACUGUCUUCCAGUACUGUUGAGUGGGGUGGGGGGUGAUUUAGAGCUAGUACUGGCUUCGUAAGUAGCCAAGUGUACUGUGUAAACAACAUUAGAGGAUGUAAUUACCGAAAUAAUUGUGAUUAUUCCGAAAGACAAAGAAUGGCAUGAUUAUGCAUAAAUAUACAAAAGAGCAUUUAAUCACAGCUAUACAAUUAAAAUGCUGCAAACUCUGUUUCUCCCUAUAGCUAUCCCAUUGCUCAAUCUCCUAAUUUUGCAAAACAAUGACAGUACACUGGGGUGAUGACAUAUGAAGCAAAAUGUAAUUAGCUUUUGAAAUGCUUGGGCUGAAUGGCAAUCUGUCUUGUGAAAUUGGGAGGCAGCUGUUUCCUCGUGCCAGCCCAGUCUCUCCAAGCUGUUUUAAUGCCGUUGAUUUUGGAGCUUGCACUGAUAGGCAGACAUGCUCUGAACGAGGGCUUCAAACCAUGGCACCGCCCAGCUAUACGCCACCAUUUGACCACCUCCCCAAAUCGUCUGGCCUCUCUCACAUUCUCUUGUAGGUAUAGGAAAACAGUCUUUCUUUCUUAAUCAAGGGCACAUAUAGGCCCCUUAAAAUCAGCAAAUGUUUAAAACACCAUAACCCAUCUCCGCAACCAUUACUGUAAAAAGUGCACAGCCUUAACCAACUUUACACACUGCAGAAAGUGUGUCAUGCAAAUGAAGUUUACUUCUGGUCCAAUUUCAUGGCACCCCAUCAUAAGCCUUAGGCACAUUUGAACCCAAUUUUAAGUACAAAGUGAGAACUAGAUUACUCUGAAAGCCUAGAUUUAAAGGGCAGAUUUCUUAUGUAAUUGAGAAUCAACACAGGCACCCACUGUGAAGAAAAAACAGAAAAUUAUCCACCUCUCAAUAUUCCAAUAAUACAAAUCAAUCUCUUAGCGCCUCUGAAUACACAUAUAUAC